UCCCGUUUAUCACUGCUGGUUGUUAGAAAGUUUUUCUGAUCUCUGUUGUCAGAGUGUUUCUGGUUCUACUGGAUUCUGUCUCCUCCUCCUCCAAGAGAUGAAACUGAAACAGGUCUGUUGUGUUCCUGUCAGAGACCAAGGUCUUUAAUUGACACACACGAUAAGAUGUCUCGGUGUCCAGAGGUCUUCCAGGUCGAGCUGCAGCGUGUUAACCCUCCAAUCAGAGCAGUCGAGUACGUAGGUCUUUCACUUUAUCAUGUUCACAUUGUGUUGAGUUCAGGGAGCAGAGUCUGUCUGUUUUCUCUCCACGUCAGUCCAGCUCAGCCAGCUGCUGCUGCAACUUCCCUGUGCGCUGUUAGUACUUUUACUGCAGUACCAUGUCUGAGUACUUGCUGUAAUCUCAGAAGGAAAGCUUGUACUUGUUGUUGUCCUGCAUUUAUCUGACAGUGUGUUACUCUGCACAUUCACAAUUUACACACAAAGUCUUUAUCAGCAGU